UAGGGAAUCUUCGGCAAUGGGGGCAACCCUGACCGAGCAACGCCGCGUGAGUGAAGAAGGUUUUCGGAUCGUAAAGCUCUGUUGUAAGAGAAGAACGUGUGUGAGAGUGGAAAGUUCACACAGUGACGGUAACUUACCAGAAAGGGACGGCUAACUACGUGCCAGCAGCCGCGGUAAUACGUAGGUCCCGAGCGUUGUCCGGAUUUAUUGGGCGUAAAGCGAGCGCCGGCGGUUUAAUAAGUCUGAAGUUAAAGGCAGUGGCUUAACCAUUGUUAGCUCUGGAAACUGAAUAACUUGAGUGCAGAAGGGGAGAGUGGAAGUCCAUGUGUAGCGGUGAAAUGCGUAGAAGUAUGGAGGAAGAACGGCGGCGAAAGCGGCUCACUGGUCUGUAACUGACGCUGAGGCUCGAAAGCGUGGGGAGCAAACAGG
rnacentral:rRNA from 1 species